rnacentral:rRNA from 1 species
AGCGAACGCUGGCGGCAGGCUUAACACAUGCAAGUCGAACGCAUCCUUCGGGAUGAGUGGCAGACGGGUGAGUAACACGUGGGAACGUACCUUUUAGUUCGGAAUAACUCAGGGAAACUUGGGCUAAUACCGGAUACGCCCUUUGGGGGAAAGAUUUAUCGCUAAAAGAUCGGCCCGCGUCUGAUUAGCUAGUUGGUGUGGUAAUGGCGCACCAAGGCGACGAUCAGUAGCUGGUCUGAGAGGAUGAUCAGCCACACUGGGACUGAGACACGGCCCAGACUCCUACGGGAGGCAGCAGUGGGGAAUAUUGGACAAUGGGCGCAAGCCUGAUCCAGCCAUGCCGCGUGAGUGAAGAAGGCCCUAGGAUUGUAAAGCACUUUAAGUCAGGAGGAAGGGGUGUGUGUUAAUAGCACAUACUUUUGACGUUACUGACAGAAUAAGCACCGGCUAACUUCGUGCCAGCAGCCGCCGUAAAAC